rnacentral:rRNA from 1 species
CCUACGGGUGGCAGCAGUCGAGAAUCAUUCACAAUGGGCGAAACCCUGAUGCUGCGACGCCGCGUGGGGGAAUGAAGGUCUUCGGAUUGUAAACCCCUGUCAUGUGGGAGCAAAUUAAAAAGAUAGUACCACAAGAGGAAGAGACGGCUAACUCUGUGCCAGCAGCCGCGGUAAUACAGAGGUCUCAAGCGUUGUUCGGAAUCACUGGGCGUAAAGCGUGCGUAGGCUGUUUCGUAAGUCGUGUGUGAAAGGCGCGGGCUCAACCUGCGGACGGCACAUGAUACUGCGAGACUGGAGUGAUGGAGAGGGAACCGGAAUGCUCGGGGUAGCAGUGAAAUGCGUAGAUAUCGAGAGGAACACUAGUGGCGAAGGCGGGUUCCUGGACAUUAACUGACGCUGAGGCACGAAAGCCAGGGGAGCGAAAGGGAUUAGAUACCCUUGUAGUC